CUGGGGAAACCCAGGCUAAUACCGCAUACGUCCUACGGGAGAAAGGGGGCUUCGGCUCCCGCUAUUGGAUGAGCCUAUGUCGGAUUAGCUAGUUGGUAAGGUAAUGGCUUACCAAGGCAACGAUCCGUAGCUGGUCUGAGAGGAUGAUCAGCCACAUCGGGACUGAGACACGGCCCGAACUCCUACGGGAGGCAGCAGUGGGGAAUAUUGGACAAUGGGGGCAACCCUGAUCCAGCCAUGCCGCGUGUGUGAAGAAGGCCCUCGGGUUGUAAAGCACUUUCAGCGAGGAAGAACGCCUAUCGGUUAAUACCCGGUAGGAAAGACAUCACUCGCAGAAGAAGCACCGGCUAACUCCGUGCCAGCAGCCGCGGUAAUACGGAGGGUGCAAGCGUUAAUCGGAAUUACUGGGCGUAAAGCGCGCGUAGGUGGMUUGAUAAGCCGGUUGUGAAAGCCCCGGGCUCAACCUGGGAACGGCAUCCGGAACUGUCAGGCUAGAGUGCAGGAGAGGAAGGUAGAAUUCCCGGUGUAGCGGUGAAAUGCGUAGAGAUCGGGAGGAAUACCAGUGGCGAAGGCGGCCUUCUGGACUGACACUGACACUGAGGUGCGAAAGCGUGGGUAGCAAACAGGAUUAGAUACCCUGGUAGUCCACGCCGUAAACGAUGUCGACCAGCCGUUGGGUGCCUAGAGCACUUUGUGGCGAAGUUAACGCGAUAAGUCGACCGCCUGGGGAGUACGGCCGCAAGGUUAAAACUCAAAUGAAUUGACGGGGGCCCGCACAAGCGGUGGAGCAUGUGGUUUAAUUCGAUGCAACGCGAAGAACCUUACCUACCCUUGACAUCUACAGAAGCCGGAAGAGAUUCUGGUGUGCCUUCGGGAACUGUAAGACAGGUGCUGCAUGGCUGUCGUCAGCUCGUGUUGUGAAAUGUUGGGUUAAGUCCCGUAACGAGCGCAACCCUUGUCCUUAUUUGCCAGCGAGUAAUGUCGGGAACUCUAAGGAGACUGCCGGUGACAAGCCGGAGGAAGGUGGGGACGACGUCAAGUCAUCAUGGCCCUUACGGGUAGGGCUACACACGUGCUACAAUGGCCGGUACAAAGGGCUGCGAGCUCGCGAGAGUCAGCGAAUCCCUUAAAGCCGGUCUCAGUCCGGAUCGGAGUCUGCAACUCGACUCCGUGAAGUCGGAAUCGCUAGUAAUCGUGAAUCAGAAUGUCACGGUGAAUACGUUCCCGGGCCUUGUACACACCGCCCGUCACACCAUG
rnacentral:rRNA from 1 species